UUCUAUAGUAGUGAGAAAUUUCAACUUGGGGUAUCUCAUUACACUCCGUCCAACAGCCAUCGCUUACUCUUUCCCGCCGAUUGGCCGAUCAUUUCAGUUUGCAAGCAGAGUUUAGUUUAGGAUCAUAACAAGAGAGAGUGAUCCGAUUGCUCGACGUAGCUUCUUUCGGUGUUCCUCUGUUCAGUUUGGUUGGAAUCAUGAUUCCAUUGGUCUCCUAGAGUCCUAGUGGUUGUACAAUCAGAUGUUGACAGGACCAACCAAAGUUAUUAUGGGGAAACAAAGCUACACUACCUUACAGUAGAUGUCACACAUGAAGGCGUGGUUCCAUUGUGAAAGUUCUAAGCUUUUCUGUAUCUGCUCCUUUGAUUUUUGAAAGUACUGAACUGACUCUCUGGUUCGAUAACCAGUUCAUGAAUCAUGAUGGUCAGUGGUCCUUCUCGGGCUCAGAGUUUGCGGUUGUAUAUGGCUCUAUGCCGGCUCAUUCCAGCCAGAGCCUUUGGUCCAGCAUUGGUUGGAUGGAGAUGGCAUGACCAUUGAAUCUAUUGGGUCGGUCCAUUCCUCGGUGGUGCAUUGGCCGCGAUUAUAUACGAGUACAUGGUCAUACCCACUGAGCCACCAACACACCACCACACUCACCAGCCCUUGGCUCCUGAAGACUACUAGAUGAGACUUUCCUUUCUGUUUGUUGAUUCUACACUUUUGUUUGUUGUAAUAUUAAGAAUAAAGAAAGAUUUUACAAUUGAGUUCU